rnacentral:rRNA from 1 species
UAUGUGGUUUAAUUCGAUGCAACGCGAAGAACUUACCUGGUCUUGACAUCCCGGAGACCCUUAGGAAACUAGGGGUGCUUCCAUCUGGAAGAAUCUGGAGACAGGUGCUGCAUGGCUGUCGUCAGCUCGUGUCGUGAGAUGUUGGGUUAAGUCCCGCAACGAGCGCAACCCUUGCCUUUAGUUGCCAGCAGUUCGGCUGGGCACUCUAAAGGGACUGCCGGUGUUAAACCGGAGGAAGGUGGGGAUGACGUCAAGUCCUCAUGGCCUUUAUGACCAGGGCUACACACGUACUACAAUGGCCGAUACAAAGGGCAGCGACACUGCGAGGUGAAGCCAAUCCCGUAAAAUCGGUCUCAGUCCGGAUUGGAGUCUGCAACUCGACUCCAUGAAGUUGGAAUCGCUAGUAAUCGUGGAUCAGCAUGCCACGGUGAAUACGUUCCCGGGCCUU